rnacentral:rRNA from 1 species
CUUGACCGCUGGCGGCAGGCCUAACACAUGCAAGUCGAGCGGAGCGGCGGACGGGCGAGUAAUGCCUAGGAAUCUGCCUGGUAGUGGGGGAUAACGUCCGGAAACGGGCGCUAAUACAGCAUACAAUCAGCUGAGCCUAGGCCGGAUUAGCUAGUUGGUGGGGUAAUGGCCUACCAAGGCGACGAUCCGUACCCGGUCUGAGAGGAUGAUCAGUCACACUGGAACUGAGACACGGUCAAGACUCCUACGGGAGGCAGCAGUGGGGAAUAUUGUGCAAUGGGCGAAAGCCUGAUCCAGCCAUGCCGAGUGUGUGAAGAAGGUCUUCGGGUUGUAAAGCACUUUAAGUUGGGAGGCGUUACCAGCAGAAUAAGCACCGGCUAACUUCGUGCCAGCAGCCGCGGUAAUAC